rnacentral:rRNA from 1 species
CCUACGGGUGUCAGCAGUGAGGAAUAUUGGUCAAUGGACGCAAGUCUGAACCAGCCAUGCCGCGUGCAGGAAGACGGCUCUAUGCAUUGUAAACUGCUUUUGUCCAGGGGUAAACUCCGGUACGCGUAUCUGUCUGCACGUAUCGUACGAAUAAGGAUCGGCUAACUCCGUGCCAGCAGCCGCGGUAAUACGGAGGAUUCAAGCGUUAUCCGGAUUUAUUGGGUUUAAAGGGUGCGUAGGCGGUCGGGUAAGUUAGAGGUGAAAUCCCGAGGCUCAACUUCGGAAUUGCCUCUGAUACUGUUAGGCUAGAGAGUAGGUGCGGUAGGCGGAAUGUAUGGUGUAGCGGUGAAAUGCUUAGAGAUCGUACAGAACACCGAUUGCGAAGGCAGCUUACCAAGCUACGUCUGACGUUGAGGCACGAAAGCGUGGGGAGCAAACAGGAUUAGAUACCCGGGUAGUC